UAGCUCUUUGGAUUGCUAUUUCUUUAGCAUAACACCAUUUUUAUGGACAUAAAUGCUACUUUUUAUAGUCAGAGCAGAAGAGCAUUGCUUAAGUAAGAUAAAUAAACAAUUAUUGUGAUUAAUUUCACUUUUGACAAUUGACAAGUUACUGUAACAGAAUAAUAUUAUAAAUGCAUAGCUUUGUUUUCCUGACUUGCUUGAUAUUUAUAUGAGAGCUGCUGUACUUUUAGUACACAACAGCAUAGGCACAAAUGCAAACAAAUAUUUUUGUUCAUUUAUUCCAAGAUGGUCUGUGAAAAAUGAUAGAUUCCUAAAAGCUGAUUACAGUGAACUCCCAAAGCAACUGGUUGGUUGAGUUACUAACUGAAAAAUCAACACAACCUGUCUAUAAAUGAUUCUGAAAAGCACAAAUAGAAAUGCAAGUAUAAACAAAUACUAAUUCUUUUAUUUAAAUACCUUUUAAAACGAGUUUAAUCUUCACAGGGCCUCCCCAGACACUGGCACAACAGAGUGUGUUGCCAUGGGAAGAAGUGCUAUAAUGAGGGACAUUUGAGCACCGAUAGCUGCGAAUGCAUAUGUUAUGCUGGAUCUCUUGGCAGUUUCUGUGCUAACGGCUACAUCACUGAGGUGCCAGAGAGAAGCAUUCAUUUAUUCACAGCAACACAGCAAAUAUUCCAGAGCUUUUUCUAUCAUGGGAGCAUGCCUCAUGACUGGUAGAUGUGGAAUCAACACGUCCUGCAUCUUCUUAACUCUGACUUUUCUUUAAUGCCAGAUUUCAAAAGAGAACAGAGGUGAUGAAAACAUACGGGAUUUCAGGCUUAUCUGCACAACUCUGUACUUGCUGCCCUUCCUUUGAAACUGAGUUAUGGUGGAGAAGAGAUAAAAACAACGAACUUGUGGAACAGGUAAUACUGGGGUCAUAGUUUAAAUAAAUCUCAACCAAAUUAAUGUAAUUCAAGGUUUAUUUAUAAAAGGAGCAUAAAUGUUUAUGGACUCCAUAAAUCAGAUGCAGAUGGAAGUGACAUGGAAUAUGUAAUAGAAGUGCAUGUAGUCAGUCUGGGACAGAUUACUCACAUGAACAGGAUAAGAUCUCAAGUUCCUUUGACGUUUUUAGUACUAAUAUCAAUGAAAUCCAUAAUCUCUUAGUCAACAUUGUUUUAUCAUUUUAGAAUGGUCUUCAUCUUUACUGCAUAUUUAAAAAUAUCCCUUGAUUAUACCUCCUAAAAUGUUAUCAGAACUUCGUUUUGGUGGUGUUAACAACAUGAUUGUUUUGUGAUCCAAUUCUGUUAAAAGCAUUACAAUGAAUGAAUGUGCCUAUAGCUUCAGCACACAUAAUGUGUGACUUCUAGUAAUGAAAGAAAUGCAGCCUCCUCCAUAUCAUGUGUUCUGACACUGAGUAUGAAGGCUUCCAGCUUGCUAUGGGUUAGCUUUGUGCAACUAUUUAAGAGUAAUUUUAAAAUGUGAUCUAUAAAUCAUCCUGAGUAAGUUCUGGUGAUCGCGUUUUCAAUGUGUUUGUGUGGGUGUUGUGGUGUGAGCUCUGUGAUGACAGUAGAUACAGGAGCACUGAAAUGACAUAUUCCCUAUGUACUUGUCUCAUCUGUACAUACAUUUCUGUGAAAACAAACGUAUGCGACUCAAAAUUAGGACUCAGAAUUUGAAGUUAGUCUUACACGAAUGGCAAGGAUAACUCUUAAACUGAGUGCAUUUUAUCUUACCAAGUUUCUGGCAUGGAUAAAAAAGAACGUGCGUGUCACUGUGCUCUCAGUCCUACGUAGCCUGCUGUUUCAGUGAUAUGUGAGGAUACUAUUGAAGGGAAACGAGAGAUACACUUUACUCAUAAUUAUCAUAAAAAGGGUUAAUGUAGAAUGUAGAGGUGACUAGAUACGUUAUUUUAUUGCAAUAAUAGACUUACCGAGGAAGAACUCUUUUAUGACACAUUCCAUUAUUGCUGUUUCAAACCCAUAAUUUGAAGAUUACUGCUCAGAAACCCAGACAGAAGUGAUUUUACAGUCAUCAGCCCAUUAAAGGUUUAAGCAUUGUCUGGCUAGAUUAGAAAGAAUUUAGUUGUGGAAAAUGUUGUGUGAUUUAUUAUGCUCCUUAAAAAGCGCACAGCCACGUGCUGGUAGGGCCG